UACGAAGGGUGCAAGCGUUACUCGGAAUUACUGGGCGUAAAGCGUGCGUAGGUGGUUCGUUAAGUCUGUCGUGAAAGCCCCGGGCUCAGCCUGGGAAUGGCGAUGGAUACUGGCGGGCUAGAGUGCGGUAGAGGAGAGUGGAAUUCCCGGUGUAGCAGUGAAAUGCGUAGAGAUCGGGAGGAACAUCAGUUGCGAAGGCGGCUCUCUGGACCAGCACUGACACUGAGGCACGAAAGCGUGGGGAGCAAACAGG
rnacentral:rRNA from 1 species